GCGCGCGCUCCGUCGCACGCGCAGUUUGCUUUCAAUUCAAAAUUAAAAUAUACGGACAUUCAAUUAUUUCUUGAUACUUGUCGCUCUACUACGCUUCACCGAUUCGUUGUUGUUUUUAUCUCUAACCACAGGUUCAGUUCAAUCGUUCAGUUUUAGUUUUGCGCAGUUUUCACAUUACGAUCAACCAUGGACGGUCCAGCGGGGCCAUCGCCAUGUCGCCUGCGAGAGCGAAGGGACGAAGUCAUAACGCCAAUGAAGAGACUAAAAGUGAAUGACAGCUGUCCAAGUGACAGCUGUCAGUGUGACAGGACACAGGGCGAGGUCAAAAUAAAAAGCAAGAGGUUCGGCAGGGGGGCCGUGGAGUCAGGACUAACACACGAGUGCGGCGUUUUCGGAGCAAUCGGCACGGGCGAUUGGCCAACACAAGUGGACAUCGCGCAGGUCAUAUGUCUCGGCCUGGUGGCACUUCAACACAGAGGGCAGGAAUCAGCUGGGAUAGUGGCGUCGGAGGGCAAAAGUGCACGCACAUUCAACACACACAAGGGCAUGGGCCUUAUCAACAACAUAUUCAACGAUGAGGCCAUGAAGAAGCUAAAAGGCAACCUCGGUAUUGGGCAUACAAGGUAUUCAACGUCGGCAGCGUCCGAAGAGGUGAACUGCCAACCGUUUGUAGUCCACACAGCACACGGUGCGCUGGCGGUAGCUCACAAUGGAGAGCUGGUCAACUGCAGUAGUCUUCGAAAGAUGGUGUUAGGGCGUGGUGUAGGACUAUCAACACAUUCGGACUCCGAGUUGAUCACACAGGCACUGUGCCUGAAUCCACCCGAAGGAGAAACCAACGGACCUGAUUGGCCCGCAAGGAUCAACCAUCUUAUGAGGCUGGCACCUCUGAGUUAUUCGCUAGUGAUAAUGUUAAAAGACAAGAUAUACGCGGUGCGGGAUCCAUACGGCAACCGACCGCUUUGCCUCGGCAAAAUACUGCCAAUGGGCUCCUCAUAUGCCUACAAACAGUCAUCAUCGAAGCAUGCUGCGGUCCUAUUAAAUGGUUGUGCGAAGAAUGGCGUAGAGGAUAAAGCUGAAGGCUGGGUGGUGUCAUCGGAGUCCUGUGGAUUUCUUUCUAUCGGCGCUAGAUACGUAAGAGAAGUGCUACCGGGUGAAAUAGUAGAGAUGUCGCGACACGGUAUCCGGACAGUGGACGUGGUUGACCGACCGGCGGGGAAACACCAGGCAUUCUGCAUCUUCGAGUACGUGUACUUCGCGAGAGCGGACAGUUUGUUUGAGGGUCAGAUGGUGUACUCGGCGCGGCUGCAAUGCGGGCGAAUGUUGGCGCGCGAGUCGCCCAUCGACGCCGACAUCGUUUCCUCGGUCCCGGAAUCCGGUACCGCGGCUGCACAUGGAUACGCUAGACAGUCAGGAAUUCCCUUCAUGGAAGUGCUGUGCAAGAACAGAUAUGUGGGCCGCACCUUCAUCCAGCCAUCGACGCGGUUACGGCAGUUGGGGGUCGCGAAGAAGUUCGGCGCACUCUCGGAGAACGUGCGCGGAAAGCGGAUCGUACUUAUUGACGACUCUAUAGUACGGGGGAACACAAUUGGACCCAUCAUCAAGCUCCUGAGGGAUGCGGGAGCUGCUGAGGUCCACAUCAGGAUAGCGUCGCCGCCGCUCAAGUACCCGUGCUACAUGGGCAUCAACAUUCCCACUCGGGAGGAACUCAUCGCAAACAAGAUGGACUCCUUCAAACUCGCCGAACAUGUUGGCGCAGACAGUCUGACGUACCUAAGUGUGGAAGGAUUAGUCAGCGCAGUCCACUACAACAUGAAGGUGACCCCCAGCGACGGGGUGGGGGGUCACUGCACCGCCUGCCUCACAGGGGACUAUCCGGGAGGUCUGCCCGACGACGUCGACUGGUGAUACUUAGUCCGACGCUUUAUUUAUAACGACUUACAGUUCGCAAAAUCCUUAGAAGGGGCAGUUUUGUUCCUGUCCCGAAAGAACUAUGGCGUUACUAUCAUACUAAUUUCAACGUCACAAAAAUGCUUCUAUUAUAAUUUUCGUUAUACCCCAUUGUAAAUCAACGUAUCGACUUAGACGAAAACUUAAGAAAUCGCGACUUUUAUUAAACCUUACAUUGGCAGUCUCUUAAAUCUCCGAUAGUUAAUAAAUCAAUAUGUGUUUAGUAAAUUUUUAUCAAGGAAUCCUUAACGGUUUCGAAAAUGCAAUUUAUACCACCGCGCCACGUGGCCCGGACUCAAUAUAAGGUGGUUCUUAUUGCACCGAAUCUUAGAAGAAAGCAGUUUACACUUUUACUGGCUCGACAUUAUACGAAAAUUCCGUCGCAAUUCGAGGAAUUGACAUUUUAUUUAUAUAGAAACAAGUACAACAUUUUUGCUCUCCUAGUUAUUAAAUAUUAUAAUGAACGUUGUAGAUUUUAGGACCCUUAGUGUCGAAUUGCGAAUGAUGGUGUCUCUUGUAGUUACUAAGCAAUAUAAAGACAAUUUUUGCAUUUCUAUUGUAAUAAAGGACCAAAUGAAAGCAUUUUUUAAUGUUUCAAAUCGUCGACCAAUCUGUACAAUUUAUUGUUAUGAAUAAAAUUAGGAAUUUUGUUUUAUUUAGUGUAAUUUUAACAUAGGAUAUUAAUCUAAGGUUGUAUUUUAUAGGAAUAGAUGUAUUUUAUAUAGAAGUCGUGCUGGUUUCGACUUGUAUACAAUUAUUUUAUUAGAAUUCUUUGGGCAUUCUUUACAAUGAACUAUUUACAAAAUAUACGAAAAAAAAAAACUUAAGAGCCAAUACUUUUGAUGUCGUCAAAUCGUUUACGGAUCGGUUUAUAAUUUUCUUAGGUUUCAUACCUUUAUGUAAUAGGGUGCUUAAAGUAUUUUAAUAUAUUAUAUAAAAAUAGAUAAAUUGGUCUAUGGAAAAAUUGACAGUCUAGAAUUCGACACGCUGUCAUUCUUUUCUUUCUAUAGACCUAAGGGUCAGCGUAGACUAUGCGUAAAUGUACUAAA